rnacentral:rRNA from 1 species
UACGAAGGGGGCUAGCGUUGCUCGGAAUCACUGGGCGUAAAGGGCUCGUAGGCGGCCAACUAAGUCAGACGUGAAAUCCCUCGGCUUAACCGGGGAACUGCGUCUGAUACUGGAUGGCUUGAGAUUGGGAGAGGGAUGCGGAAUUCCAGGUGUAGCGGUGAAAUGCGUAGAUAUCUGGAGGAACACCGGUGGCGAAGGCGGCAUCCUGGACCAACACUGACGCUGAGUGAGCGAAAGCCAGGGGAGCAAACGGG